AGAGAGAUGAUAAAGCUGCUGUUGGUGGGCAGUGAGACAACGCUUGGUGAGAGUGAUCCAAGGAGCUUGUCUUGGCAUGGAGAGACUCCUCCGGUACCUCAGCGUUCUUGACCUCCUCAUGUCCUUGGUGACGACCUCUUCCACCGGCCUCUGCGAGAUCUGUAAGUGCCCCAAGGAUGGUGAGAAUAUAGUUUGGUGCAUUAACAAAGGGCUGUCAGAGAUUCCCAGGAACCUACCGCCAGACACCCAAGAACUUUUCCUGCAAUACAACAGCAUCUCCACCCUCCUUCCAGCAGGCUUCUCAGCCGGGGCUGCUAAUGGCUGGCUUCUGGGCAGGGACCUCUCCAUCCUCGAUCUCAGCCACAACCUCUUCACCUCUGUACCAACCCAAGGACUGGAAUCCCUGACUCAGCUGAGGAAGCUCUUCCUCAACAGCAACUUUAUCUCCUCCUUGGCACCCGGGUGCCUGCAGCCCCUCACCAGCCUGGAGGAGCUGCACCUCAGCAGCAAUCCCCUUCGCUCGAUCCAGCCCGGGGACUUUGCUGGUCUCGACAACCUCCGGGUACUGAUGCUCAGCCUGAAUCAAAUCUCCGCCAUUCCCUCCGGUGUCUUCGAUGAGCUGAGCCAGCUGGAUUUACUUCAGCUGAAUGGGAACAGCAUCUCGGAGAUCCAACCAGGAGCCUUCCAGGGACUGGGGAACCUGAGCCAGCUGUUUCUCCGAAGUAACAACCUUUCUGUCCUGACUUGGGGAUCCUUUGACGGGCUCGACCAACUUCACGUCCUAAGCCUCACAAACAACCAAAUCUGGUUGACUCCUGAGGAGGUCAUGAGACAUCUCAAAACGCUGAAAAACCUCUACUUGAAUAAUAAUCAACUCAGUACCUUCCCUGGGGUUCUCUCUACACUUGAAGGUCUGACUUUGCUGGACGUCAGUUGCAAUGGGCUCAGCAACCUGCCAGUGAAUGCCUUCCUUAACCUGACCAGACUGAGGAGACUGGACCUGAGUCUCAACAACCUCACUGGCCUACCUCCCCAAGCCUUCCAGAAGCUUGAGAACCUGACUGUGCUAAACCUGUUCAACAACGCCAUUGAGUCACUGCCUGCCGAGGUUUUUGUUGGCCUUCUGAAUCUCAAGGAGCUACACCUGGACAACAACCGGAUCUCGUCCCUCCCUCCGGAGAUCUUUCAGAAUCAGUCAGAGCUGAGGGAACUCCAGCUGGACAACAACCUCCUCACUCAGUUGCCUAAGGGGGUCUUUGACCAGCUAGACCACCUGAGAACUUUGUACCUUGACAACAAUCGGCUGGAGUUAAUUCCCAAGAAGGUUUUCCGUAGCCUGGGCCUCUUGAGGGAGCUGCAGCUCGACCAGAACCGUAUUGCCUUUCUCCCCCGGGGAGUCUUUGCCAGCUUGAAGAACCUCCGCGUGCUCCAGCUCAGCCAGAACCAGAUCUCCCAUCUCCACCAAGACAUCUUUGCGGGUCUGGCCAACCUGAAGGAGCUCCAGCUAAAUGGGAACAAGCUGUCCACCCUCCCACUGGGAGUCUUCAAGGAGCUGAGGAAGCUGAGAGAGCUGCACUUGGAAGGGAAUUACAUCUCCACGGUCAAGAGCUCUUUGUUCCAGGACGUGCAGAAGCUCGAGGUCCUCCAGCUGCAAUUCAACCUUCUGCAGUCCCUCCCACACAACGUCUUCUCAGGGUUACGCAAGCUACAGAAGCUGCUUCUCCACAGGAACCAGCUCCACACCUUGAACCCUGACACCUUCGCCAGCCAGGGCCACUUGCAGGAGCUUCACCUGGACCGCAACAACCUGUCAGCCCUGCCCGAUGCUCUCUUCCGAGAUGUCCCCCGGCUCUCUCUCCUGCACCUUGACUACAACAGACUGAGGCAGCUGAGCCCUGGCCUGCUGGUUUCACUCGGGCGUCUGGACCAGCUCCACCUGGGGGGAAAUCCCUGGAUGUGCAGCUGCCCCUCCAUCCUCCACCUGAGGGACUGGCUGCAGAAGAACCCCAGGAGGGUGUUUGAUACACCGGAGUGCUCAUCCAAUCGAACGCCGGUGGCAGCGGUUAAGAAUUUUUCCUCCGUGCCCACACACUGCUCCUCUGCCGUGAGGACAUCUCCCUCCCCUCUUCCAGCCCUCCUCCUCAUCCUCCUCCUCUGCUCAUCACUACUUUCCCUCAGACUUCCCUUCUUCUGAGGACAGUCCAGCUCCAGAUGACCUCUGCUCUCCUCUCAGUCCAACACCUUUGUGAAGGCACUGUAAACCAUUCAGCCCCUCAAACCUUCAAGAGAUCCCAAUCUGCCUCACCCGCUUUGCCCUCGAUUUGCCCCUGCUCUUUAGAAAUGCACUGAAGUCUUAAACAACUCAUCUCCGUAGUCUCUCAGGAACUCACCGUUGAGCUGCCUGGGACAUCAGCUCCAGGAUCCCCUCUCUGAUUCUCUCCAGCCCUCCCUCUCCUGUCAGCAGCUCCUUUAACACUCCGCCUGUAUCCUAGCUUUAACCUGGCUGAUCUAAUACCCCACCGUGUGGCUCGGUGUCCUAAGUUGCCUCUGUGAAGGUGCUUGCAGCUUUUGAAAUGCUAUGUAAACACAGGCUGAUAUCUCUGCUAUAGAAACCCUUUAUAGGAACAUGAGCCUGUCUCCAACUUUUGCAAUUAACUUCAAAAGAUUACAGGCAACAUUCUUCUGAAUUUCAAUCUACUCCUCAUCUUUUUUUCUACAGUCCUGCCGAAGGGUCUCGGCCCGAAAUGUUGUCUGUACUUUUUUUCCCACAGAUGCUGCCUGGCCUGCUGAGUUCCUCCAGCACUUUGUGCGUUUUGCUUGGAUUUCCAGCAUCUGCAGAUUUCCUCUUGUUUGUAAUUCUGAUCCGAUGCCUUAUGGCCCAAUUCACAACCCACUGGGAGAAAAUAUUCCACCUAAUUUUUAUUUAAAAUGAAAUUACACAUCCCUCCCCUCCAAUUAUGUACUGCCCCCUACACUCUUUUCUGUUUCAUUAAGAUCAACUCUCAUUCUUCUGAAUUGGAAAGAGUAUACAAUAGUUCAAAUUGCAGGAAGAACAUCUCAUAUUACACCUGUGUAGACUACAACCAAAAGGCACGGACAUUGAAAUCUUUGCUUUCAGGUAACCUACUCCUCCCUUGCCCCUCUUCUCAAUUCUGCCGACCCACCCAGUUCCUCCUAUACCCACUCAAGCUCCCGUCUCCGUCUUUUUCUACUCCUCCACCCCUCCCUCUGCCCGUCAUUCACACACUCCUCCCACUGGGUCCCCUCUCCCCUCUGUACCCAUUCCACCCCCCCACCCCCAUUUUAUUCCACACUCCACCUUUCUCUCAUCAAAUUCCACCAUCAGUCAAAGAAACAUUUAGCGAAACACAUGCUUGUCAACGUAGCAUGCCCACAGCUCGCAUCCUUGGGGUGUGGGAGGAAACCCACGAGGCCACGGGGAGAACACAGAGAGAGGAGGGAUUCAAACCCUAAUCUUAUGGCCAGGGUGCAGUAGCAUUACACCAAUUGCUAUGCUCGCAGGUUGCCCACGGUCGCUGACUCCAUCCAUCAGUGUUUAGCACUCUUCCAUCCUGCAGUUGCUCUUCAUCAGCUGAAUCCACUCAUCACCUGCCAGCUUCUGCUCCCCUCUUCAUAGAGCCUCUUUCGCCUCUACUCUUUCAUUCCAGGUGAAGGGUCUUGGCCUGAAAUACCAACUGUCCAUUUCCCUCUGUAGAUGCUGCCUGACUGACUGAGUUCCUUCGGCCAUUUGUUUCGUUUUGCUCCAUGGACCCAACUUGCUCAGUCGAUCCAAAUAACACAACCCCUUUAGCCCUGGAAUCAAUUUCUCUGAACUGCCCACUCUAUGUGCUCUGGGCUUCAGUCCCUUUCCUUCCCAAUCCGGCCACUACGUUGACUGUUCAUUCGCUCCACGGAUGCUGCCCGAUCUCUUGAGUUCCUCCAGUAGUUUGGAUGCGUGGCCCCACCAAUACCCUGAACCCUAAUUCUCCUACCUUCUCCCUGUAACAUCUGACACCCUGACUAAUCAGGGUGCAGAUUAGCCUCCACCAAAGGAGAUGCAGGUGCUCUCUCCCUCCGCUAGCCUGCAGGUCACUCAGGGUCAAAGUGUAAUGCCAGCUUUGCCCGCUGAUCCGGGUCACAUGAAACCAUCGGAGCGGGUGAUGGUUUGAGCAACUGGUACAGAUCACAUGUCCUGAUUAUAUGACCACUGACAGAGGCAGACGAUCUCUAGACUAUUAAUAUUUUUCAUGAAAAGAAUCCUGCCAAACGGCUAAAGGAUGUUAAAAAUUUACUUUUGGCUAAGCUGAGAAGACUUUGCUUUCUUUAACUUUCAGAUUUAACAGUCUGCUAUAUUCUUGCUAGCAGUUCGCACUCGCCCGCAAUGCUGACUCAGAGUUCUGUGUGGUUACAUGUCGGUAUUAUGUUUCUGGACCCUGCACUGCAGUCUUGUGACCAUGCCAGGAUCAAGUGAUUCUUGAAAGAUCAUGACCAAUACAUCUGCUCUCUCUUCAGCAACCUCUCUCAGGACUCUGGGAUGUCGUCCAUCUGGCCCAGAGGUGUGAAACUGCACAGUGCAAUAUCUAGGACACAGCCCCGAUGGGUGCUGCGAACAUGGCACAGAGGUGCUAAUGAGGUCAGGGCAGAGUAACAGUCUGAACCCAGGAGCUGGCUGAGUUAAUCACAAUUCUGUAUGUCAACAGAUUUCUGUAUCAUGGCAUCUCCAAAAGAUGAAAUAAAUGAAUAAAUAAAAAUUCCCC